AGAGUUUGAUCAUGGCUCAGAUUGAACGCUGGCGGCAGGCUUACACACAUGCAAGUCGAACGAUGAUUUCCCAGCUUGCUGGGAAUGAUUAGUGGCGGACGGGUGAGUAACAUUUAGGAAUCUGCCUAGUAGUGGGGGAUAGCUCGGGGAAACUCGAAUUAAUACCGCAUACGACCUACGGGCGAAAGGGGGCGCAAGCUCUUGCUAUUAGAUGAGCCUAAAUCAGAUUAGCUAGUUGGUGGGGUAAAGGCCCUCCAACGACGAAACAUACCGUAAAUCAUGUGAGAGGAUGAUCAGUCCCUCGUUUUCCGAGACACAGUCAUGACUAUUACUGGGGGCUUC
rnacentral:rRNA from 1 species